AGGCAGCAUUGAGGAAUUUUGCGCAAUGGGGGAAACCCUGACGCAUGAUCGCCGCGUGGGUGAAGAAGGCUUUCUGGUCGUAUAGCCCUGUCUGGUGGGAAGAAACUCUUCAGUGCUCAUAAUGCUGAAGCCUGACGGUACCACUAGAGGAAGCACCGGCCAACUCCGUGCCAGCAGCCGCGGUAGUACGGAGGGUGCCUGCGUUGUUCGGAAUUAUUGGGCGUAAAGAGCGUGUAGGCGGCUUGGUAACUCACAUGUGAAAGCCCUGGGAUCACCCCAAUAAGUGGAUUUGAAACUACCAGACUUGAGUACGGGAGAGGAGGGGGGAAUUCCCGGUGUCGAGGUGAAAUUCGUAAAUAUCUCGAAGAAUACCGGUGGCCAAGGCGCCCCUCUGGACCGAUACUGACGCUGAGACCCGAAAGCGUGGGGAGCAAACCGAUUUAUACCCUGGUAGUCCACACCGUACACGAUGAGCACUAGGUGUAUCGGGUAUUGACCCCUGCUGUGCCGCUUCUAACCCAUUAACUGCUCCGCCUGGGGACUACUCCCGCAAGACUCUCUCUCAGAGGAAUUGACGG
rnacentral:rRNA from 1 species